rnacentral:lncRNA from 1 species
GAUCGUGAGUCCUUGCGAAACGACCAAGGUCACUACCUUGUACUACUUAUUUUAAAAUUAUUUUGAUCACGAAACGACGGUGAUCAAUGACCUUAUUAAAAAAUUCUUUCAAGGUUACUAAUGUGUUGGCAGCUAUGGCCAAGGAAGUAGUAUUUGAGAAGAGCAUACACUACACUACUAAUGAAGAGAGCAAAGUUUUCAAGACUUUGACAUGUGAAUAAAGAAGCAAUUUAUCAUGUCACUUGCUUAAAUCAAAUUCGGAAAAUAACAAGGCAUAACCAAUCAAGUUCAUAGACAUAUGAUGCUAAGCGUGUCUCCCAUUGGAGCACUUAUCAACUUAUUAAGCUCAACUAACUCUUACUUUGUUUUCCCAAUGGAAAAAUGUUUAUGUGGUAGGCAUGAUUGUUUCAAUUUAAGGAUUUUUUUUUUAAAAGGAAUUUAAGGACUGUCUUUGAUUAAAGAGUGGUUGCUUAAAAUAAAUGAACUAAAUCCAUUAAAUAUGAACCUUUGGGGUUAAAAGUGAUUGAAAUCUUAAAANNNNNNNNNNNNNNNNNNNNNNNNNNNNNNAGGAAGGAAGGAGCAUAAUGAUUUGAGAAUAUCCUACACCAACAAUAGAGGGCCAAAAUGAAUGCAGAUUAACUAUCUUCAGUGUAUCGAUGGAGGUGAUGCAAUGGCAGAACCGCAAAGGGGGAGGAUGAUUCCAAAUACUUUAAACAAGUUUUAUAUUGCAAGAACAUUUUCACUUCCUCCUUCUUUCAUCUAAAAGAUUACAAAUAUAUUAGUAAAACAUUUCAAAGCAAGCAACAUGCAUACAGAACUUGAAGAACUAAAAGACUCCAGAUUUGUGCCUUCGAUGAUUUAACAACAUCCUCAUUUCGUUCUCAUAGUUCAACACAUUACCAUCCACGUUUCCAGAGUAAUGUGUAUAGAUAUAUUUGUAUCUAAUCAAUAGUCUGAAUUUUAGAAGACUUAUUAAUAUUUAAAUUUAAAUAAUAGUUUAGUAAGUAAUGAUACAUCAACUAUAGACUGACUAUGCUGCAAUUAAAAAUAAUGCAAUCACUAUAGUCAAUGUAAUAGAAAUGUUGGAUUGCUUAAGCUCAAUAGAACAAAAACAAAAGACAAAAAACUGAAUAUAAUAAUAGUGACCUACAUUUACAUUACUUGAAAAAAUCCUUGAAAAAUUGGAUAAUAUUUAUUCUUUUGAAGGAAAUAAAUCAGUGAUUGAACAUCCAUUGAGCUAUGAACUAUCAUUCUCGGGUUAAUAAUAGGGAACCACAACUUAUAUUUUAUUUUUUAAAAAAGCUAAUUUUCUAUUGUAAAACAUGUUUCUGCAGAGAAGUAGAUUAAUGGAAAUAAAUACUACUCUAUCACCUGCAGAUUUACAAAGAAAUUAAAAAAAAAUGUUGUAGAUCCAAAAAUAAGCACACGCAGUAAAGACAUUUUUUUAAAAAAAAACAAAAAGUUUAGAUUUUAUUACAAGCACAUUUACAAUAUUUUUCGAAAAUAACAAAAAAUUUAUAUCCACAAAAAUAGAAAAAAGGAACCACAAAUCC